UACGUAGGCGGCAAGCGUUGUCCGGAAUUAUUGGGCGUAAAGGGAGCGCAGGCGGGAAACUAAGCGGAUCUUAAAAGUGCGGGGCUCAACCCCGUGAGGGGGUCCGAACUGGUUUUCUUGAGUGCAGGAGAGGAAAGCGGAAUUCCCAGUGUAGCGGUGAAAUGCGUAGAUAUUGGGAAGAACACCAGUGGCGAAGGCGGCUUUCUGGACUGUAACUGACGCUGAGGCUCGAAAGCUAGGGUAGCGAACGGG
rnacentral:rRNA from 2 species